UACAGAGGUCUCAAGCGUUGUUCGGAUUCAUUGGGCGUAAAGGGUGUGUAGGUGGCGCCGUAAGUCGGGUGUGAAAUUUCGGAGCUUAACUCCGAAACUGCAUUCGAUACUGCGGUGCUUGAGGACUGGAGAGGAGACUGGAAUUCAUGGUGUAGCAGUGAAAUGCGUAGAGAUCAUGAGGAAGACCAGUGGCGAAGGCGGGGCUCUGGACAGUUCCUGACACUGAGACACGAAGGCCAGGGGAGCAAACGGG
rnacentral:rRNA from 1 species